rnacentral:misc_RNA from 1 species
AACUUUUAACAAUGGAUCACUUGUCUCUCGCAUCGAUGAAGAACGCAGCGAAAUGCGAUAAGUAAUGUGAAUUGCAGAAUUCAGUGAAUCAUCGAAUCUUUGAACGCACCUUGCGCCCUUUGGCUAUUCUGAAGGGCAUGCCUGUUUGAGUAUCAUGAACACCUCAACUCUCAUGGUCCGCCAUGAUGAGCUUUGACUUUGGUGGUCUGGCCGGCCUAGUGUCGGCUCCUCUCAAAUGGAUCAGCUUGCCAGUGUUUGGUGGCGUCACAGGUGUGAUAACUAUCUACGCUUGUGGUUUUCUGCCAUAUAACCUUCAGUGAUGGAGGUUCUCUGGAGCUCACAGAUGUCUCUCCUUGGGGAGGACAGCUUUUGAACGUUUGAUCUCAAAUCAGGUAGGACUACCAGCUGAACUUAAGCAAAUCAAUAAGAGGAGGCU